UAGGGAAUCUCCCACAAUGGACGAAAGUCUGAUGGAGCAACGCCGCGUGAGUGAAGAAGGUUUUCGGAUCGUAAAGCUCUGUUGUUGGUGAAGAAGGAUAGAGGCAGUAACUGGUCUUUAUUUGACGGUAAUCAACCAGAAAGUCACGGCUAACUACGUGCCAC
rnacentral:rRNA from 1 species